CCUACGGGUGGCAGCAGUGAGGAAUAUUGGUCAAUGGACGAGAGUCUGAACCAGCCAAGUAGCGUGAAGGAUGACUGCCCUAUGGGUUGUAAACUUCUUUUAUAUGGGAAUAAAACGUUCCACGUGUGGGAUUUUGUAUGUACCAUAUGAAUAAGGAUCGGCUAACUCCGUGCCAGCAGCCGCGGUAAUACGGAGGAUCCGAGCGUUUUCCGGAUUUAUUGGGUUUAAAGGGAGCGUAGGUGGAUUGUUAAGUCAGUUGUGAAAGUUUGCGGCUCAACCGUAAAAUUGCAGUUGAAACUGGCAGUCUUGAGUACAGUAGAGGUGGGCGGAAUGCGUGGUGUAGCGGUGAAAUGCUUAGAUAUCACGAAGAACUCCGAUUGCGAAGGCAGUUCACUGGACUGCAACUGACACUGAGGCUCGAAAGUGUGGGUAUCAAACAGGAUUAGAUACCCUUGUAGUC
rnacentral:rRNA from 1 species